UACGAAGGGGGGCUAGCGUUGCUCGGAUUGACUGGGCGUAAAGGGCGCGUAGGCGGUUCGUACAGUCAGACGUGAAAUUCCUGGGCUCAACCUGGGGGCUGCGUUUGAUACGUGCGGACUUGAGUGCGGAAGAGGGUCGUGGAAUUCCCAGUGUAGAGGUGAAAAUUCGUAGAUAUUGGGAAGAACACCGGUGGCGAAGGCGGCGACCUGGUCCGAUACUGACGCUGAGGCGCGAAAGCGUGGGGGAGCAAACAGG
rnacentral:rRNA from 1 species